AGAAACGUGAUGCGUCGCUUUUACCCUGACAGUUGUGUCAUUGUCACCAAGUCCACCCCGUGGGUCUGGCUCACGGCCGGAGCAGGGGCAGAGGUACAACCUCUUGUUAGCCAACUUCCCACAGAGCUGAAGGGUUUGAAGAUUCUGCCCAGGGUGGCCAGCUUGCUAUUCCUCCUCACGGGGGGAGUUCGAAUCCCUGAGACCAGAUAUUCGGAGCGCACUGGGGGGGUUUGGUCCAUUUCAUCUGGAAGGAGAAAACCCAGAGAGGGGUCAGUGGUGACCAAGCUCACACAACACCCUGGGGGGCCUGAGGUGACGCCCCUCCCCUGGGGACCACAGUGAUCUUCCAAAGCCUGGAGCUCAAGAGGGCGGUCCAGGCAAUGGACACACUCUCAUCUUCCAUCGCGUGCCAGCCCGUGUUCAAGUGCACACCGAGCAGGUUAAUUCACCUCUCACCUCCUGUGAGAAGGAGCUGGGAGCCUGACUGAGUUCUUCCAGAACCAAGAAACCCCAGAGAGACCUGAAGAUGCAAGAAGAGCAGGGCUGGAAUGAGCAAGUACCAAGCCAGAGGAUGUCACCAGCAGUCAGAGGCGCCAGGGCCUGGGGCGGGCUGGUCAUCACCAGACCCAGCCUGAUGCCCCAUGUGACUGGUCCCCUGGCCAGCAGCCUCCAGAGAAACCCCCAAGGUUUGACUUCCCAAGCACUUUUCUUAUCAGCAGCCCAAGCCACUCAGCCCCCUGAGCCUCAAUGUCCACAUCUGGAAAACAAUGGCCAUCCCCCAUACCUAGGGUGGAGAGGAAAUUUUUGUGUGACCAUAGGGUGGCCAUGAAGUCUGAAGUCAUACAGAACCAUACGAAAUACACAGUUUAUUGAUAGCAUGUUACCAUCCAUGUAAAGUACUAUUAUUUAUGUUUUGAAACUGUAGACACUCUGAUUAACACGGCACACCAGCAUGGGGGACUUCCGGCAGAAAUUUUCAUGUAAUAAUUUAUAUAAGCAAUAUAAUAAUUCUUAUGGAGUGAAAGUCAUUGCUUGUUCAGGACUGGGUGCUAUGGUAUUUUAUUCCCAUAGUAAAACUAUGAAGUGGAAACUGUUAUUACAUCCAUUUUACAGAUGGGCACACUGAGGCUGUCAGAGCAACAGAAUUCUGGUCUCUGGCAGUCUGACUCCAGAAACCUCUCUCAUAUCGCUAAACUGCUUCUAGGGUGAUGAUACAAAUUUAUUGCCCAGAGAAGGAACCAAAUGGAUGGAUGGAUGGAACACAACAAGAGACAUAAACUAAGAUGGUCCCCGUACCCUCCCCCCUCAACCACCGCCAAGGGGGAUUUGGAAUUUUAGUUCCCUGACCAGGGAUAGAACCCAUGCCCCCUGCAUGGGGAUCUUAACCACUGGACCACCAGGGAAGUCCCUCUCCAGUGGUUUUUAAUUGAAUGUUAAAUAUAUAUCAGGGACUGG